rnacentral:misc_RNA from 1 species
GAAAUGCGAAAUGUCGUGUGACCUGCAUGCUUCGUGAGUCAUCAAAUCUUUGAACGCACCUUGCACCUAGCGGCUAUGCCACUAGGUAUACUUGUUUGAGUAUCAUGAAAUCGUCGAGACUAAGCGAGUAAAAUCGGUUAGCUCUCGGACCUGGGGCGUCUGGAAGAACGGGUGUGCCGGAAGGCACACACACCUACGCCAGUCCCCUUAAAGGUAGGCCGGCUACGGCCAGCAGCUGAUGGAGCAACGUAGCAUCUGGUGUGUGACCAGGUCACACAUCUAGGUCACGUCGUCAGCUGGUGGACUCGGUCCGGCAGACUGUCGGGUGGGAAGCCAUUCCCCCCGCCACAUGUGAGAGUGGGCUCGCGCCCACUCUCUCACACACCAAUGAUCUCAAAUC